UACAGAACCAUGUUGGCAAGGUGUUUCUCUCGUUUUGUUUAUUGGCUGGACUUUAAGAUGGUCUAAUUUAUACGACCAUAUAAACAAGGGGCUCCUCUUGGUUUUAUUUAUUGGAUGGAAACACAAGAGGGUACGAGGUUUGUAGUUUACCUAAGACUUUCAGGUAUCCUGACCUUGGCAGAACUUAUUGUACCAUAUUAAUAAACAAUCAGGUCCCUAGACCUUAUAUGUUCCAAUCCAUUGCAUCUCUCCAUAACUUCCAUGCUCUGUUUGUUUUCAGAUCUAGGCUUGCACACAACCUUCACUCUUUCUCCUUAUUUUUUGGAUCCUCAUUUCCCAAUCCAUCAGCUGCCCAGCCUCAGAAUCUCCCUCCGUUCACUGGCUUUUUCCUCUAACGCGUGCCAAUUGCUAGUCGUUGGCACCACAAAUACAUGCAGAGAGAGAGAGAGAGAGAGAUGAUAAGCUCAUGGAGUAUGACUUCAGUGGAGGCAUAAGGGAAGAGAGGACUGAUCUGGUUGGGAGUAACCUCAUCUCCUUCGUGAAGAAGGGUGAGAUAUAACAGAAGCAGCAGUUGCCGUAGGAGGAAGAGGAGGGUCGAUGCCUCUCGGUGCGAAGGCAGCGCUGGCGCUGGUGCUGCUGACGGCAGUUCUUCUACUGUUGCCGCUUGUGCUGCCUCCUUUGCCGCCGCCGCCGCCGCUCCUCCUCUUGAUCCCUGUUGCAAUGGUGCUCCUCCUUGUCUUCCUUGCUCUCCACCCAGCCCACACCAUAUCAGCAUAUUCUGACGUCCCUCCUCAGCCAUGAAUCAAACCCCACCAUCCAAAAGAACUUCCAUGCAAAAUCAUGUACCACAUGCUGUGAAAUAUAUUCAGGAGCUUGAAGAAAGAGAAGAGAGUAGAGAAGUAAAGAACCAUUGAUGGUAAGCUAAUAUAACAUACAAACAUGGUCGAGAUGUGGUCAUCCGUGUCAUCUAUUCCAUCAUUUCGCCUUCUCCUCUUAUCCCAUUAAAUAUGAAUACCACAAACAGGUUGGCUGCCACCAGGAGAACUUCUGUUCUGCCCAGUGCCAGAGAUUUAUACUACCUUCUUAAAUGUAGGAAAAGAAGAAAAAAUAGGCAAAAAA
rnacentral:lncRNA from 1 species